AAAUGGAAAACUGACUGAAAGCUUAGAGACCUGUCACCCCACCCAUGACUAGUGUUGGGUCUGCUGAUAUGGCUGCCUAGGUGAAUAUCCCCUUCCUCCUUCACUGCUUGGUGUGUGUCUUUCCCAAAGUUGUCCACUUGGUGGAAGGGAUAAAAGUGCAGAUAGAAGUGCACCAGUCUUCAGUCAGGUGGCUAAGAUAGCUGCACUCCCUGCCAGAACCUCCAAGCUCAAGAUCCAUUUAUAAAACAGUGUUAUUGUUCUGUGCAGUCAAGUAAGAACUAAUUUAUAGCGACCCUAAUAGGGCUUUCUCGGUAAGUGAGAUAUUUA
rnacentral:snRNA from 1 species